AGCGGUGGACAUGUGGUUUAUUCGAUGCAACGCGAAGAACCUUACCUACUCUUGACAUCCAGAGAACUUAGCAGAGAUGCUUUGGUGCCUUCGGGAACUCUGAGACAGGUGCUGCAUGGCUGUCGUCAGCUCGUGUUGUGAAAUGUUGGGUUAAGUCCCGCAACGAGCGCAACCCUUAUCCUUUGUUGCCAGCGGUUAGGCCGGGAACUCAAAGGAGACUGCCAGUGAUAAACUGGAGGAAGGUGGGGAUGACGUCAAGUCAUCAUGGCCCUUACGAGUAGGGCUACACACGUGCUACAAUGGCAUAUACAAAGAGAAGCGACCUCGCGAGAGCAAGCGGACCUCAUAAAGUAUGUCGUAGUCCGGAUUGGAGUCUGCAACUCGACUCCAUGAAGUCGGAAUCGCUAGUAAUCGUGGAUCAGAAUGCCACGGUGAAUACGUUCCCGGGCCUUGUACAACCCGCCCGU
rnacentral:rRNA from 1 species